rnacentral:tRNA from 1 species
GUCUCCAUAGUUCAAUGGAUAGAACGCCAGCCUUCUAAGCUGAUCAUGUAGGUUCGAUUCCUACUGGGGACACCA